GAAAAAUUAAACUUCUGAGGGACAUACCAAAUAAAAGAACCCGGUGGUGGGCGCGGGAAUUCGGUGGGGCUGGGGCUCACCGGGGGAAAGCUCAUGGCCGCGUUUCCCCUCAGGGCAGCCCAGAGCCGCGUUAAGCUCCGGCGUGCCCCUGCUUGGCGGUUUGGGGCUAUCGUCACUCUUCAUAGAGGUUGAAGGUAUACAGGCUGAGCUGAGUAGGAGGAAUGUGCCUCAGAGGUAAACAUGAGGAAUAUGCACUUGAAAAGAAGGUGACUGUACCUGAAGGCAACGCUCAGAAGAGGAAGGUGUAUGCAUGCUAAUGAAUGAACAGUCUCUGCUUGGAAAAAUAACAUAACAAAUCCUUUACAGAGUCGAAAAUGUCGUAGGAUGGCUAGGAGACAGAUUUAACUACUUAAGGUAACACUUUAAUUGGAAUCCUCUGCCUAAGGUCCAAGGAGUGAUCUUCAAAGCUGCAACAUGCACUGCUGCCUCCAGGUAUGGUGGUGUGGCAGCAGGGCUGCGCUGGGCUGCCUCAUAUGCUUGCUGACACCCAAAGGAGAAGGCUUUAUUCACCCUUCCUCCUUCCCUGCUCCACCCUCCCACUCCUAGCAAUAUGCUCUGGCCAUAAGGUGAGCAGUAAAUUCCCUCUGCUGACAAAAGAACGCUUACUUUUUUGCCAGAGGUCAUUUUUCUGUAAUUUUGCUGAGCUGAGUCAGCUUGCUUUGCAUCAGAUGGGUGCUGGCUCAGGGCAAGCAGUGGUAGCGUGUGGCCAGAAGCAGCUGGGAAGGGAACGAGAUGACAAGAAGGAGCAGGGAGCUUUUACUUUUGAUGAUGAGAUGUUGACUUGGCUUGUGGUAUAUUCAAUAUAGAAAUCUCUAUAGAGUCUAGGAGUGCUUGAGGAUAUACCUCUGUGGACAGUAACGGGCUUCUCUGCCCAUAUGCUGGUUCAGCCAGAAUCAAGCCAGCUCUGUUCCAGAACUGUGUUAGCUAAUACACACUGCCCCUUAGGGAAACUUUCCUAUUUUCCUCUUUCUGUUUAAAUAAUUUAAUGUUGCACAAUGCUGAAUGGCAGUAUUGCUUUUUGAAGUCUAGUUUUAUGUUUAAAGUAACUAUGCCAAAUGAAAGGCAGGAUCAAGCUAAUGGGCAGUUGGCAGUUUUCUGUGAUUUGAUCAUAAUUAAAACCAAUAUAUCAAUCACAAAUACAGGGCCAGAGUAAUGCUCCAAUUCACGCUUGGCAUUAUUUACUUGUAACUGAAUUAUUUAUUUAAUUAGUAACUUUGUUCCUUAGUGUGCUAUUAUUAUUACUCACGUUAACAGAAAAAUGUCAGCCAGUGUUUGAGUGUGGGUAUUUUGUAUGUUUUAUAUGUACAAGACUGGCCAGGAAGAAGACUUAAGAGUACCACAGAUGUUACAUACCAGGAUGGCACCCCUAAGGGUCCUUGUGAGUGCGGCAGGAGAUGUUACUGAAUGGGGUGAUUCUUCUUAGGGCCAGCAGUUGCUGCCUGUGCUUUUGGCAUCCUUUUUAUUGCAGGUAAAACAACCCUGGCUCUACAAGGUUUUUCCCAUUUCUCUCUAUCCCCAUAUGCCCUCUUCUCCCACAGUAGGCAUUGUUUCUGCCUUUCCGUGACACGUGGUGCCUGGUUUUGGUCAUGUCUUGGCUCUUCCCUCAUGUUUAAGUGCCAGAAUAUUAUUGUUUUUUUCUUGCAUUAAGAGGCUUUCAGCUAAAUCUGUAAACUGUUGGUUUUGCAGCAAAAUUCUUGGGAUGCUUCAGGGCAAUUUUUGAUGGGCUGAAAAGAAUCAUGGAAGAAUAGUCAGAUGCACAUGCUGGAUCAGCAGCUUCAGCUGUUGUUGAUUGAAGAAAGUGGUUAAAGACAUGGCAUGCGGUUAACGCUGCAAUUCUGAGAUUACAGCUUGGUUGUUGAAAGUGGACAAAAAGGAUUGUAUUUCAGUUCAUAAUAGUACUUUAUUUUGGAACUAUCACAGUAUCAUAAAUAGUUCACUAACAUACACAAACAUCUUAGUGGUUAGCUUUCAGUGGCUAGCCAUUUGUCAACAAAAGCUCUAGAAAUGCUUAACAGUUAGCCUUGUGCUGAGAGAAUUAAUCUUCACAAUUGUUUGAAAAUAAUGUUUCAGAGACUUGAGGACGUUCUUUUUUGAAAACUAAUGUUUCAAAGAUAAAACAUUCAAAUAAUUUGAAUGUGUCUGAUCAGACGAAGUUUGAAGAAGUUCAGGCCAAAGCCGAGCUGUGUGUGACUUACUAACAAAUUCUAAAAAGAGUGCAAAAUAAAAUUUGUGUAUUGUCUUUCUCUUUUGAAUGCUGAUGGACAGUAGGUGUCUGCUUACACAUCAUGCAUGCAGCACCUUAGUGCAGGCUUUCUAUGUGUGCUGUCAGGCUGUGGUAUCUUUCAUGAGCAGCAAUGGGUAAGUACAUCAGAUAUUAUGCGGUAAUAACAUGAGUCUUGGUCAGGCCUACUAUUAAUCACCGACUGGUUUGCAUCGUGUCCUUUGUUUGUAAUUGUGACUCUCACCAAAGAAGAAAAUUGCAGUUGCUUAACAGAUUAGAUUUUGCAUUUAAUUUGGCACAUGGCCUCUUUAAACAUAAAGCUAGACAUUAAGAAAUGUGUAAAUAGGGAAGAAAGUGCUGCCUUUCAAAGAACGCACACUUGAUCUUGAAGCCUCACAGCAAAUGCUCUUUCUUUGCAUUUAUUUACAUAUACUACUCUGUGCAUUUAUUUGAUAUUAAGCUUAAGUAUAUGUACACACAAAUGAAGCAAAAUCUUCACAAUUCAUUCUAUUGAACUAAAGUUGCUCUGCUAAGCCACGGUACUUCUCCUGACAUGACAAGAGAUGACUGAGCUGGUAAAAGGCUGGCUGCAGAAAUGAGAUGGAAGGCCUUGUUUCCUUCACUUUCCCAGUCCUCCUUUUGGUCAUGUGGUCCCACACCUUCCAAGGUGCCACCGCCGGCACUCGUGUUGAUUCAGUUCACCCACUCAUGAGAAAGCUGUCUACGUUUUUGCUGGAUGAUUUAUGAAGGGUUUUAGUAAGCACCAGAACAGGUAUAAGGUAAGUGUGAGAAAUGUGCAAUGACAUGUAGGAAAAAGAAAACUUGAAUAAAACCUUUGCUCUUGACCAAACUAACAGUUUUAACAGGAAGUAUUUUAUUUUAACCCUUACUAGAUAUUUUAGUUUGUAUCAUAUCUAUGCUGGGUAUUUAACAUUAAAUACUGGAUGUUUAAAUAUUCAGUACUUAGUAGUUGCUGAUCUUCAGAGAAGUCAAACUGAAGCUGCUUGAGCACCUUGAGUGAUCACAGGUGUUUCCUAUUUCCUAAAUGAAGUCAGCACUGCAUGAGAAAUUUAAAACCUGUUAUAAGGCCUUUUCAAAACCUGUGUUUGUGUACUGAUUUCUAGACGGAAAUAUUUUUCCUGAUCCUUUGAAAUCUGGCUGCUACCUUUAAAAUGUGGGCUUCGAGAGGCUCCCAGAAUGUAAGCAGCAAGAUGCCUGCAUCUGGUGACCCGUUUUGUUUCAGUGUUUCUGUAGUCUAGGUGCUGUGCAGAGAGCCCCAAGGACUCUGAAAGCAGGAGGGAAAGGAGCAGCUAAAGGCCUUGGUGUCACUAUGAGGAAACACGGGAAGCUGUGCAAGAAGAGUGGUUUUCAGGCAGUGGGAGAGGACUAAGUACUUGGGAACCAUGUCCAGGAAAGAAAAUAAAAAAAAAAAAAAAAGCAGAAAACAGGAAUUAAUGGAAAGACGGCAUUUACAGCAUAGGAGGAACAAGCUUGAAGUGUUCAAAAGAUGGCUUUUAAACCUGAGGUUUCCUUCCUGUUCUCUACAACACACAGAACAGGUGAGGAUAGCAGCAAUAAAACUUUUGUUGGUAGAUGAGACUGUGGAUAGAAAAUUUUGUUGGUUUUGUUGUGGUUUUUUUUUAAGCUUUAAAUGAACCUGUCCUAUUGAUCAAAGUAAUAAAAAAAUGUUGCUAAUAACCUGCAGGUAAUUAAUGCAGCUUAUUCACAGCUGGUAAUCUGAGGAAAGACAAGGCAUUUUCCUAUGCUCUCCAAAUUUCAAAUAUAUUUUUAAGGGCAGAUCAGCCUCAAAUAUUCUAGUUAGUGUAAGUAGGCAUCAUUAAAACAAUAGAAUACUCUAAAUUAGGAUUGGCAACAGCAUUGUGGUAAAUAAUUUGGCAAAGCGUUAUAGUCUUUGUUACCUGAAGUGAUCAGUUAUUUCAUUUUUGGUGCCAAUCCCAGUUCAGUUGAAGCCAAUAAAAAGCUCCCAUAGGCUUUGACAGGACCAGAAUCAAAUGCUUCAUAACUCACACUUUCAUGAGCUGUGGUGAGGAAGUGUACUUCCGUGUGACACUUUGUUUUUUCUCUUCUAACCAGAAGAGGAAAAAACCCCAAUAAAAAAAACCCCAAAACCUAGAAAUACAUAAUGCUUAUAAUAGUAUUCAUCGGAUGAUUUGAUGAAUCAAAUAGUUGCUUUCUUAUUUCACUGUAGCAAGAAACGGGUUAAGUUAUUUAUUUUUCAGUUUACAGAGCAGGAGACCACCUUUCUGACCCUUGGUUAUUUGCUCUAACUAAUAAACUGUCCUGAGUUAUAAAAAGUUGAACGCUGUAAGCUUCUCUGAUGCUGAAAGGGCAACACAAAAAGUUUUUUGCAAAAUGGUUAAAGGCGAUGGCUAGCAGCAUUUAGUGUGACAUGUUUAAACCUGUCCUGAGAGAAACAGACUUUAAGUACUAUGCAGUUUUUUACAGUGUUUUGUUUAGACACUUCUGUUUUCAACUAUCACAGUAGAUCUCUGUUAAUUCACUUAAAAUCCACUGCCUUUCCUACAGGCCUUUGAAAGAAAGUCUGGAAGUCAAAACGCUGAUGAUUUAGAUUAAACUUGUUGCUGCUUUGCUCCUCAAAAACUACCUCCUCCUACCACCUAAGGACACUUAUAUUUGCUGUCUUCUAUAUUCUAAUAGCAACCGCAUUUUCAAAAGAGACUGCUUGUAAAAUUUGGACAUGCGGCAAACACUUCUGAAUUCACAAGUCACCUUAGUCGACGUCUUGUUGACGUUUCCUCUGCUAACCCUGAUGAAUCUAAAAAGAAAUUCUAAAUGAAGUUCCAAAAAGAGACAAGAUACAAUGUAAGAGUGUCUUGGGCCAGGAGUCAACGCAGGAAAGAAGAAAAACUCACUCAACCCAAACAACUGCCAUUCAAGGGAAUUUUCUCCCUUUACAAGGAGAGAACAGUAACCUCCAAGAACUUCAGAAUGCUUUUACAAGUAGAGCAAAAGUGAAUUGAAGCUGUCCAAACAAGGGCAUUUCCCCAUCUCUCCCAAAGAAAGAAGCUGCAAAGAGGUUUGUGACUUGUCAAAAGCCAAGUCUGAUGCUGCAACUUUAGGAAUUAAAGAACACAGUCCAGCGUCCACUGAUACUAGCUGGGUUGCGUGUAUUUUUCAAAGGGCAAGACCUCCUUGUGUAGCAUUUUCAAUGUACCCUCUUUAUAUUCCAAGAUUUGGAGCAUUUUCUUCUUUGCAAAAGCAUUUACAGAUUAGAAGUCUCAUAGCAAUCCUCUGCACUGUAGGUUCUAGUAUGUUAAAAAACAUAAAAUUAAGUGAAAUGUUACACAUAAAUAUUCAACAUUUACAAUAUAAAGUGCAUUUUGGGCACCAAAUUAAAAUACCAUUGGCUGCUGUCAGCAUUGGUCAAAUGGGAGUGCGUGUGUGUAAAUCUGUUGCUUAAAAAACUUUAUUGCAUCUGUCCAACUAUAUAGGUACCGUGAUACAAGAAAACACCAGCCCGACGUGUUACCUGUGAGACGCUGCAAUAUGGCUUCCUGCGCCUCUGGGAAGCCUUUUCCACUACGGUGCCAAAUAUUUAACUAGGAGGUAAAAGGACAGCAAUGUUGGCCUGUGACUUGCUCAGCAAGAUCUGCAGGCCACAUAAUGCUGGCUGUUGAUACUUUAACAAGAUGUAAAAUUAAGGGUGGCUACAAUUGGAGAUACAGAACUUGUUGAUACAGUUAACCAAGAACUCUCUGAAAUUCUUGACUAUUGCUCUGUAGAUACUGGUUAUUUAUCUAAUAUGAUGUUUCAUUCUGCUCAAAGUUACCAUUUUGUCCUCCCAGCAGGGCAAUACACACUUAGGCAAAGUGUUUCUGUGGGGUAGUUUGGCCUUUGAUUUGACAAGAGAAGUGUCUUUUUCAGCAUUUACAUUUUUAAGUUGCAAGAGAAACAGUAUCAGUGAAACCUGCGUAGUUUUUAACAAGGGACAAACCUCUAGCCAUUUGCUUAGCGUUCCCAACCCAUGGUAUUCUACUUCUUCAGCACUAACUGCCAGGUCAAAGUGAGUAUCAAAAUAAUUUGAUAGAACUAUAGUUUGUCCAAAUGGAUAAUGUGGCACACAAUUAAUUAAUGGUUUCUUUUCAUCCAAAAUUAUAAUCAAAAAAAUACAAUAAAUUGAGUAGUGUGUUAACCAGCAAUGUCUAAAACAAACCAGUGUAAUCCAGAAGCAGUAAUUCAUAUACAUUUGAAAGAUGAAAUCAUGAAAUAAUUUUCAUACUCAAAUCUAUUACUAGAAUGAAUAGAAAAUUCACAUAGCAAUGAAGCGAAUAUCUCAACAAAGUAGAAUUCUUACGUAAUAGUCAAAAGAUCGUUAGUUUCAAUAAAACCAAUUAAAACACUGUUCCUUCUAAGGAAAAAAGAGCCCAUGAAACUAUUAAUGAAACAUCAAUAGUAGGAUGGGAUGGCUCAAAGUGCUUAUGGAAGAGGGUGGCAGUACAAGAUGUAGUCUUCAUGCAGUCCCUCCUCAGCGAAAUAACCUUGUGCAAAGAAUAGUCCUGCAGCC